GCGAUGUGGCGCAGGUGGACCUCAUGGAGUUCGGCCGGACUGGCGGCGGUCGACGGUGGACGCGGGUGCAUGAGUUGUGGGGCUCCAUCUGCCGCCCGACCACCACUUACUCCCACUCUGUUCGCUGAUUUUGUUUUCACUGUCACAGCUGUUCCUCGUCGACCUGCAGCAGCAGGAGACACGAGAUCACCUCCGACACCGCUGGUCACAUGAAGGCCAUCAAAAAUGGUAUAUUAUCCAUAAAAAAGGUGUUUGCUUAUCUAUAUUCUCUACUAUUGAAUUAUAGCACAAACAUUUGCUGAAACGGGGUGCUCAGGACGUCUAUUUUAAUUGCUUCAACACAAACUAGGUGCUCUGAGUUCAGUACGUGAACAAUCAUCAGUUCGUGAAAAAUACAUAUAACAUGCUUUGUUGUGUGGGAUUUGGGGGGGUGCCUAGUCUGGCUAAGAAUGCCUUAAUUGCUACUUUUCUUUGCUCAGUUCAAGUGAAAGAAAAAAAAAUCAGUUCGAGAAUCUAUAUGGAGGAGGUUGGGAGCAAAAAAACCUCAUAAUUUUUCUCAGUUCAAAGAUUGGAAGCAAAAAAUGUAGCUAGUGGUUUCGAUUUGUCAUAAGAUGAACAUUUCUGCUCAAAUUAAGUUAGCAUCAGAGAUAUAGCCAUUUUCUUCUAAAUAAAAAGUUUUACAUAAAACCUAAUAACUAUCUUGUAGGCAGCUUACACAAAAACCCACCAUUCGGGCUACAACAUCUCUGAUAAAAACAAAGAUGAAAACAGUGACUUGUUUUCUUCCUUAUUAACUUCGCUUUUGUUACUUUAGCAUAUGUUCUGUUGUAGAAGUCUAGAUUUCUUCUAAAUGUGAAGUUUAACUUCCCUGGGAAUUUUGGUUUAUAGAUAUGGGAGAACAGUCCUGAAUAGAAACUUUCUUAUAUUAGUUCAGUUCAAUAUCUAAUUUUAGUUUAGUUCCAUUCUUAUUUUUAGUUCAGUACAUUCAUUGCCUAGAAUAGCAACUAUCUAUUAAUCUGGCAAGCAAAUGAAUCUGAAACCUUUAUUGUUCGGGUACGGCUUGGUAUUGACUUGCUGCUGCCUGUCGUGAUUUAGGAGGUUCGGAUGACCAGGGAUGCGAGCACCUGCCGGAGAGCUCCUCCUCAAUGAGUAAUUGGCCUUGUGAUGCGCUUGUGCUCUACACAUGUUUGUCUUAAUGCCUUUAAAGAAAAGAACAUGUUUCUGAUGUUCAAUAGUAUGGUCCUUCUCAGCAGAUGUUAUACAGUAUACAUCUUUUCAGUACAAACUUUUAAGAAGUUUCUUUUUGAACUUCUCACAAUUAAUAUACAUGAACUUGAUUAUCUUUUUAACAUGUACUGAUAUCAGCUUCGUUGGAUUUUUGUGCGUGUGCUUGUAACACAAUCAGUUCAGAUCUCGGGAGACCAUAAGUUCAAGUUCACUAGUAUUUAUAAAUGUUUAUUGUAGUACUAGUAUUUACAAAUUUCUUAUAAUUUCCACGAGUCGGAGGCUGUACAUAUUUCUUAUUUCUAUUGCUAUAAGUUCAAGUGAUGAAAUGCUAUAAGCUCGCAUGUUAUUCUCCAAAUAGUUCAAGUGAUCAUUGUUUUAUUUUUUUGUGUAUAUCUAUAAGAGUAAACUUUGUGACCUGAACUUUCUACUUACUACUUAGAGAAAGUCCCUUUUGUAGCAUGAACUUUCUUCUUAUUGCUUAGAGAAGGUCCCUUGGAAAACAUGACUAGCUUUCCAAGUUGGGUUAUCCUCAAACGGUUUAUAUUUUAAUAUGGAAUAGGAAAAUAUGUUUGCUUUGGAGCAUGUUUUACAAUUAGAACCUUUCAGACUUCAUAUUCUUUGCGUAUGCAAAAAACAGAGGACAAAAUUUGGCUACCUGCGUAUAGUUUUUAUAAUUUCCAUGGGGAAACUAAUAUUCAUGCACCUCUCUGGUGGAUGUUUUGAUGCAUUUCCUUCAUGAAUUGUAGUUGUCGGAUGGUGUUACACAAUUACUAUUCUAGCAUCAUUGUUUAUAUUGUAUUUUUUUAGCAUUCUUGCGACCCUAUUAACAACAUCUUUUUGUGCAGUGUUUGUUGGUUUUUCUUUGAUUUAUGGACAUCUUGGGCUUGCUGGGUGUAGAAUCAAGAAAGCCAGUAAGAGGUACUAGUAGGGGAGGAAGAAAUAAUGUGAAAAAUGAGAUAAAUGUGAGAAUAGCAAGUAGAAAAGCGUGAGAGCGAUUCAGAUUUUUUUAAAGGUUCUUAAUGUACAUGUACCUUUGGUAUGUAGAUGCACUGUAAUGUAUCUGGAAAGUACGAAUGGUUAAUACCUCAAUGGUGCACUAUGCAUCUUUGGCAGUUUUUAUGCAUUUUUAUUCGUUAUGCAGCAAUUUAAUGGUGCGCUAUGUACUGAAGUAUGCAUUCUCGAAUCCGAGAAUACAUUGGCUCAUCAAGGUUGCGUGCGUACCAUACAGAAAUCUGGAGCAUUUUGCAAAAAAGUAUUUACAUCCAUUCAAACUCGAGAAUACGAUAAGUUCAG
rnacentral:lncRNA from 1 species